GUGGGAUUUGGGCAUAAGGAGGCGGAGCUGCACUCCAUCAUGGUGCGAUUUGGGCAUAAGGAGGCGGAGCUGCACUCCAGCAUGGUGGGAUUUGGGCAUAAGGAGGUGGAGCUGCACUCCAUCAUGGUGCGAUUUGGGCAUAAGGAGGCGGAGCUGCACUCCAGCAUGGUGGGAUUUGGGCAUAAGGAGGCGGAGCUGCACUCCAGCAAGGUGGAAUUUGGGCAUAAGGAGGCGGAGCUGCACUCCAUCAUGGUGCAAUUUGGGCAUAAGGAGGCGGAGCUGCACUCCAGCAUGGUGCGAUUUGGGCAUAAGUAGGCGGAGCUGCACUCCGGCAAGGUGCGAUUUGGGCAUAAGGAGGCGGAGCUGCACUCCAGCAUGGUGCGAUUUGGGCAUAAGGAGGCGGAGCUGCACUCCAGCAUGGUGCGAUUUGGGCAUAAGGAGACGGAGCUGCACUCCAUC